rnacentral:lncRNA from 1 species
AAAAAUAUUAAUAUAUUGUGAAAAUUACACUUAACCCCCUAUAAAAAAUUUAAUUACAUAUAGGUCCUCGGAUAUUUUCCAAAUUUUAGUGGGGGCAAUUGCCCUUCCUUGCCCCCCUGGAUACGCCCCUGCUCUCAAUCCCGCCGUUGGAUCAACGUCAGCUUUUUAACAUGCUUAGGGUGAAAAAAUAAUAGGUUUACCUUCUUGUUGUAAGAUGGAAUGUAAAGCAAUUGCCGUAAUUAACAACAGACUUGAUGGUGGUGUGUGGGCAACAGAAUUAUUAUUUAGGAGAUUAGUCUGUGGGCAACAGAAUAAUAAUAAUUCUUAAUACUUGUAUCAAUUAGAAGAUUGAGAACUUAUGGAAGAUUUUGUAAUUUCUCCCAUCUUCUUCUUGCUUCGGUGGAUGCAUUUAGCUGAAAAGGUUUAGUCAUAUAUGAUCAUAUCGUAUCAUAAAACAUAAAAGAUUCUGUUUUGGUUCAUGAUUAUGGGUUGUUCUUAUUAGAUAUUUAAGAGAUUACAGUUAGUAUGAUUUUACAAGAUCUUUUUCCCUUCUAGUCGAAUUGCCUUUGUUGAGCAGACUUCCUCUUCCAUGGUUCAGCACCUGUAUGGCCUGGUUGGCUUGUUAUGGAAUAAUUGGAAGGCGAU